rnacentral:misc_RNA from 1 species
AACCUAGCACACCUGCGGUGUGUACCUGCGGAGGGAUCAUUACCUAGAGUUGUAGGCUUUGCCUGCUAUCUCUUACCCAUGUCUUUUGAGUACCUUACGUUUCCUCGGCGGGUUCGCCCGCCGGUUGGACAAAACUUAAACCCUUUGUAGUUGCAAUCAGCGUCUGAAAAAACUUAAUAGUUACAACUUUCAACAACGGAUCU